ensembl:rRNA 5S_rRNA 5S ribosomal RNA
GCUUACGGCCAUACCAUCCUGAGCACGCACGAUCUCGUCUGAUCUCGGAAGCUAAGCAGGGUCAGGCCUGGUUAGUAUUUGGAUGGGAGACCGCCUGGGAAUACCAGGUGCUGUAAGCU